AAAACAUAUAGUCGUUUCUUCAUGAAGAAUUGAACUCUAACCUUACAGAAUACCAAACUGGCUCUCCUUUUUGAGUAUUUUCAUCUGGUGUCUUACAUUUAAGGGUUUAACUUGUAUUAAGUCGUGUCAACUUACUGUCAAGACAGACGCAUUUAUAGAAAAUAAAGGAAUAUGGAGUAAAAGUCCACGGGACCUUAUCGAACACAAAGUCAGAGCUUAACAAAAAUACAAAUUAUCAAUGGUCAGCGUUUUAUUCCUGUUCAUCUUUAUAGUCGCUAG
rnacentral:lncRNA from 1 species